GAUGAACGCUAGCUACAGGCUUAACACAUGCAAGUCGAGGGGCAGCAUGAACUUAGCUUGCUAAGUUUGAUGGCGACCGGCGCACGGGUGAGUAACACGUAUCCAACCUGCCGAUGACUCGGGGAUAGCCUUUCGAAAGAAAGAUUAAUACCCGAUGGCAUAGUUCUUCCGCAUGGUAGAACUAUUAAAGAAUUUCGGUCAUCGAUGGGGAUGCGUUCCAUUAGGCUGUUGGCGGGGUAACGGCCCACCAAGCCUUCGAUGGAUAGGGGUUCUGAGAGGAAGGUCCCCCACAUUGGAACUGAGACACGGUCCAAACUCCUACGGGAGGCAGCAGUGAGGAAUAUUGGUCAAUGGACGAGAGUCUGAACCAGCCAAGUAGCGUGAAGGAGGACUGCCCUAUGGGUUGUAAACUUCUUUUAUACGGGAAUAAAGUGAGGCACGUGUGCCUUUUUGUAUGUACCGUAUGAAUAAGGAUCGGCUAACUCCGUG
rnacentral:rRNA from 1 species